CCUACGGGAGGCAGCAGUGGGGAAUAUUGCACAAUGGGGGAAACCCUGAUGCAGCGACGCCGCGUGGAGGAAGAAGGUCUUCGGAUUGUAAACUCCUGUUGUUGAGGAAGAUAAUGACGGUACUCAACAAGGAAGUGACGGCUAACUACGUGCCAGCAGCCGCGGUAA
rnacentral:rRNA from 1 species